GCGGCCGUGGUGUAGCCUGGUUUAACACAUCCCCCUGUCACGGGGAAGAUCGAGGGUUCAAAUCCCUUCGGCCGCG
rnacentral:tRNA from 1 species